rnacentral:lncRNA from 1 species
CUGAUUUAGGUCUGCUAGGCACGCCGUUAUGGAUCUUAUAUAUCGGUAAUAAUCCUGUGGUCUUUGUUUCAUGCAAGUACUCUUCUACGGAUAAAAGCAACUGAUUGAGGUUCUGCUUUGUAUUUCUGUAUAGAUUUUCUCAAAUUCUAUUUCAUGCUCUGCAAAUUGCAUCAUCAAAAUCGCUGGUUAAUGUUCAUAGAGGUUGAAAAAGUUGAUCUUGUAGAUGAAUUCGAUAUUUACUUAUUCUUUUCAAUGGAUUUAGUUGGUGAAAUAUUGUAGAUGGAUUUUCAGAUUUCUUUCGGCCGUGAUUUCCCUGUUUAAAAUGGUCGGUAUAAUCUGUUUAUGAUUUAAUCGGAUGACACAAUAUACAUCUAAGGUAAGGUGGAAGAUGCAUAGGGUGUUGUCAAAAUCAUAAAUGGUAGAUUGUUUUUGUUGUUGCAAGAAAGGUAGGUUGGAAGAGCGCAAACAUUUUGUUAGGAAGAUGCGGAGGGUGUUAUCAUCUAAGCCGAGACCGUUAUCAUCUUUAUAUUCAGAUCAUUUAACCUUGCAACUAUUAAAACAUAUUUUUUGUUUUGUUAUUCCGUUUUUUGUUUUAUUGUAUCGAUAUUAUUAAGGGCGUUGUCAAAAUCAUACUUAUAUAAAUUAUUACAUAUUUUGUUAUUAUCUUUUGUUUUUUGUGUUUGUUAAAAUUUGGGUUUAUUGUUUUCUUUGAAAGUAUUGAUUUUUGUUGAUUGAAUGUUACAUGUUUUUAAUGAGAAUAUCAUCUUAAUGAACUA